GUAAGGAAAAGGAAUCUUGCCCGCCGCGUAACAGCAUGCCAUCACAGCAGCCAGGAACAAUAAAACCAUCUAUUCGUGAACAAGACAUUCAACAGGAUUAAGAUUGAGGGGAAACGAUAAAAUCGAAUCUGCAUCUCUUUCUAGGUCGGCAGACGAAUUUUUCCGUUUGGCCUUCACAGUCUGAACUGUUUGAUGUUCACCGAAGGAGAAAGCUCCAUACGUGAUGCCACUAAUCCUUGACGCACUACUUGCAUAUUGACCCUUAUCAUUCCAAAUGAUUAGAAUUCUAAAUCAAGGGAAAGUUUUUCUCUCUCUUAUCUUAUCAAUCAGUCGAAUAAAGAAUAUGUCGCUAUAAGAAAAGAAUGUUUCGUGUAUGAACCAGUCGAAUUUUUUGAUUAUGUACAAGGAAUUUGUUUUCCCUAAAAUGUUGUUUCUCUGUUCUCAGUUAUGGUAAUAUGCAGGUCUGGCAGGUCUUUCCACUGAUCGAAGUCCUC